ACCAGCCUCACUUCUCCCCCAGCUUCAGGGGAAAUGAGCGCUCUGUUCUGCGGCUGCAAGAGGGAGGGGCCCCACAGCCACAGCUCUGGCCCAGAUGAACCCAACCAUACUCGCUGAGCCGAGGCUGGCUUGAACUAUGCCCUGCUGUCUCCUUGCCCUUCUCCUGGGCACUUUCUUAGGUGUCGGUGCUCAGACCAUCCACCAAUGGCCGCCCGUCAGGGUGCUGAUUGAGGGCAGCCAGCUCUCCAUGGAGUGCACCGUGAAGGGGACAUCCAACCCUUAUCUGUAUUGGUACCGGCAGGACAAGGGAGGCCCCCCCCAGCUGCUAUUCUACUCUUUACGCAUGGACCAGAUAUACUCUGAGGUACCGCGGAACUUCACAGCCUCCAGGCCCCAGGACGGCCAGUUCAUCCUGAGUUCUCAGAAGCUCCUCCUCAGUGACUCUGGCUUUUACCUCUGCGCCUGGAGCCUCACGCUGAGCCGGCAAACGAGGGAGCAGAGAAGCAGAUGGUGACCAAAGAGAUACAAGAUACAGGAAAAGGAUGCGGGCACGCGUGUAUAAUGGUAACACCCUAAAAAAGAUAAAUUAUUUGGAUGAGAAUGAAGGAGAGGAAAAGGCUUAUGGGGGUGGCUGGGAAGAGAUGCUACGGUUCCCCUGGCAACCAAGCUUACUUCCUCAUCCCUGAGUCCCUCAAUCCUCCUUCGUCCUUCUUAUUCUUAACAGGGUUUUCUUUUCUAAUGUCCCUUGUACUCCACGAGGAGGCACAAGAAUCUUAAAAUACUUUGUUCCUGGCAUCACUUCAUCUAGGACAAUUCAGACAUUUGUUUAUUUUCAGUAUCAUUCGAUCUGCAGAGGGAAAUCUGAGACGGAGACGCAUAGUGAUCAAGCCAGUAUUUAAUAAUGCCCGAGGACUCCUGUGGCACCUUCCGUAUCUACGUAUGUAUUAAGCGCCUAUUGCGAGCUGGGCACUCUGGGCCAUCGCAGGGAUCAAAAAGAAAAAUGGAGCGCACUCAAGAUGGUGCUGGGCAUGGUCACAGCAUGGUUUAAUCAAGGCGCUUGGUUUGUUUUUCUCCCCCCCAUGUGUGAGAAUAUUAAUUGACUAAAGUAAUCACUA